CUUGCCUAGCUAUCAAUUUAUCCAGAAUAUACAAACUUCUUAAAUCUAAGUUACUUACUAAAUUUAUUAAGCAUUAACUCAAGUUGCAGUGGUUAUCAAUACCAGACAUUAUGAGCAAAUCUCUUAAUUACGAUAUUGUCAAGGUAUAGAUUGUAUAAGCAGAAAUCUUUCACUAUUGAUCAUUUGCCAAAGAGAACGGAAUGUUCAAAAACCAUCCCGUUUCUGCACGUUCCCCAGAUUUAUCUCCUACGUUGUCCACAUCCCAGCAUAUGUAUUAAUAAAUGUAUUCCAUGUUACCUUUCCAAAAGAGUCAAACACAAACCACAGGUAUAAAGCAAGCAAUAUAUUAAAAGCAUUGAAAUCCCUACCUAACCCUCCCUGGUUUUGCCUUUUCUUUUUCCUGCUUCGAACCAGGUAGUGGCACGACCCACUCAUUCCACGCAGAUCAGCACGGAUCCUGAAAAACUUAUGGCACAGGUCUCCUUCCAAGGCGAAAACUUUGGAGGUCACCGAGCCCUCGCCCACCACAACGGGGUGCUGUGCCACCUCGGGGGGCCCUCCGCGACAACUCCGCCGACAAACUAACUUCUGCCCGAGGGCGGCCGGGCUCCGUGGGGCGCCCCGGGGAGAGGAAGGGAGCGGGCAAGACGGCGGCCACCCCCCAUCCCCGUGAGCAGGGUGCCAGCCCUUACCUCGGCGCACCCCCUUUCUCCGCUCCGGCACGGCAGCAUAGAGGCAGGGCAAGAGGAGCUGCCGGCGUUUCUCCCUGCGCCUCCCUGCUCCUCGGAGAAGCCCUUCCCCCCCGUCGCUCUCCCCCUCUCCCGCCCAGCUUUGGGGCACACACACAGGUCUAUUUUUUAAGGAGCACGGAGGAGCAGCCGCGGGGAAGCUGGGUUGGAAGAAGCAAAACCCUGACGCGAUUGAGGAUAUGGGGCCAGCAGACUUCUGUCAGCACAGCAUCACUGCAGAGGAGGAACGGUAGACCACUGCUGAGUGGCAUUCUCUAGCUCUGAAAUCUUCAAUCAUCUCUUGUGUUAUCUGGUAUCCUCUGUGCUUGACAUGUCAGACUUCCUGCACGUGCGCUGCAAAGCUAGUCUACACAUACGCGCUAUGCCGAUACCUCCUAGACUAGUCUGAUUUAGGAUCCCACAAUGUUCCUCUGACGGAUCAGGUUUAAUGCAUAUGUGCAAGUACAGCUGAUCUACACAUUCAGUGUGGUCCUAGCCUGGACUCUUGACUAUUCUGCAUGCAAGUAAGUGUACAUGCACCCUGGUGCUUUGCUCUAUGGCCAUAAAACCUGGACAAAUAAAGAAGACCAUCAAGUUGUGCCUGCACAUGAUUACCACGUAGAGGAAAUGACAUAUGUAAGAAGCCUUAUCUAUAAAUUAGCCUUAUUACUUCAUUCUCCACCAAUGGAGAGAUCUGUUACUUGGGCAGUAGAACUUCGUUGUUAAUGUACACACACAAAAAAGUUUGUUUUUUUGUCCCCCCGUUUCUCUUUCCCAGAGAAAUUUAAAACUGGGUCUGAUGCAUGACUAAUAUUCUAUUGUCAUUUCUUUAGUGGAGGUCAUUAAUAUGCAUUAUGUUUUUCAUCUAAUAUUAUAUACAUUAUUUCAUAAUAUUAAAUGUAUUAGUCAAAUCAUUCUUAUUCAUAUGUAGUUUUCCAGUAAACCUCAGUGAUCUUUCAAUUGUGGCGAGGUAUUCCCUCCCACGCCUCCUAAAAUACAGAACUGCAGUAUUCUGCCUAUGGGGAAAAAGCCUGAAGCCACAUGGUGGUGUAUCUGUUCAACACUGUGAAAGAGAAUUUCCCUAUUCACAGUCUUGCACAGUCAACAUGACCUGCUGGUAAAUUUUAAGUUGCCUGACACCAUGAUUAAAACCCUCUUUUUUUUUUUUGCAUUAUGUUGUUUGAUGAAAUGGAGGAGACAAAAGACUCGAAUGUUUGCAUACCAAUCAAACAAUUGCACGUUGAUCAAUUCUACAGGCUUUUCAUAUUCUUAAAAAUGUAGUAAUACUAUAGAUACUGUAGGACCUUUUAAUUUCUCCAUUACAAGUGAAAUGAAAGGCUGAAGUCCAGAAUCCCAAAUGCAGAGUACUUUUCAAAUGAAGGGGACUGGGCAGAAGGCUGUGAGAAGGUGAAGUGAGAGAGAUGCAUAAAAGAAACUUCAUUUCAAAAAGAUAGCCUUUUUAACCAAAGAGAUUUAGCUGCACUCAGCCAGAAAUAUUUUCUGGAUUGUCAUUCCCACUUUGCAAUGAACAAGUAUCAGUAUGAUUUCUUGAUGUGUUUAAUUAUGUGAAGUAUGAAAUCAAGUAGGUACAUCCAACAGCUACAGAAAAAUGACAAGACAUAAUUUCAGACAAGCCAGCAUUGUUUUAUCCCAAAGAUGCCAAAAAUGGCUUCAGAAUUAUAUUCAGCUUUUAAUUAAGACAAAUGAGAGAUGUCACAAAUCAUCCAUUGUAUGGGUCACAUCAAAAGCACGUAAGUACUGUAGAAUUUCUUCUUUCUUGAUGUAGUUCCCAGUUGCAUUUUCCUGGAGCCUUCCUUUAAGUUUAAUACUGUGCUGGAUGCUGGAGUGCUACAAAUAACCUUAAAGCCUGGACAGAAGUUGCCUGUAUUAUUAAUAGUAAAAUGAAAUAAGUCUGCAUUCUCCUAUAUUAAAAAGAGAAAAUUAAGCAAAGUGAAUAAAAACAAAAACAAAAAGCGUAAUAUUUUGAAAGAUUAGGAGUUAUAUAUUUGGAACAGCUCUAAAGAUUACUUUCUUUUCCAUGCUAUAAAUCAAAAAAUGUAACUGAGAUGCCAUCUCUAGUGAUGAAAGGUAUUUUGUUGUUUUUUUUGCAAGUGAUAUGUACUCUUCAGCUCAGGGGAAAAAGUCCAUUUCCAAAUUACUUUUAACAACAAUCCAGUGGUCAUAUUUGUGCUUCUAUUUUAGGAACAUAG
rnacentral:lncRNA from 1 species